AACGAACGCUGGCGGCAGGCCUAACACAUGCAAGUCGAACGCUCCGCAAGGGGGAGUGGCGCACGGGUGAGUAACACGUGGGAACCUACCUUCUGGUACGGAACAACCAAGGGAAACUUUGGCUAAGACCGUAUACGACCUCCGGGUGAAAGAUUGAUCGCCGGAAGAGGGGCCCGCGUCCGAUUAGGUAGUUGGUGAGGUAACGGCUCACCAAGCCUUCGAUCGGUAGCUGGUCUGAGAGGAUCGACCAGCCACACUGGGACUGAGACACGGCCCAGACUCCUACGGGAGGCAGCAGUGGGGAAUAUUGGACAAUGGGCGCAAGCCUGAUCCAGCCAUGCCGCGUGAGUGAUGAAGGCCUU
rnacentral:rRNA from 1 species